rnacentral:rRNA from 1 species
CACGUAGGCGGUGUGUUAAGUUGGAUGUGAAAGCCCCGGGCUCAACCUGGGAAUUGCAUUCAAAACUGGCACGCUAGAGUAUGUGAGAGGGGGGUAGAAUUCCAAGUGUAGCGGUGAAAUGCGUAGAGAUUUGGAGGAAUACCAGUGGCGAAGGCGGCCCCCUGGCACAAUACUGACGCUGAGGUGCGAAAGCGUGGGGAGCAAACAGGAUUAGAUACCCCUGUA